UGUAUUUUUUAAGCAGAUGCCUGAUUAGCGCUACUGGCUGGGUCCCAGCUUUGAAACCGUUAUGUCUCGCGGUGUUGCUCAGCCGAGCCGCUGAUAUUCUUUCAGCGUUAUUAUGAAUAAACUCUUACUGCUGUCUCUCAUCCGCAGUUGGUUCCGAUAUAGCUGGUGCCCCUUGUGAGGGAAGGAAGCUGCCAUGUAAUGGGCCCAGUGGAGGCUGGACAGUGGUGUUUUGCCAUCAGUCGGCUUUAGUACGUUCUGAUGAGUGCUGUUAAUGGUAGCAAACGUUCUGGUGUCAAGUGUCUCCUAAAACAGUAAUUUGAGUUUCCAACCCUGAAGAGCCCUGCUCCAAAAGUGGAAGUAUGCAAACUGUCAACCACCCAAAGAGGAAAGCAUCAGAAGCCUCGCACGGAGACAGUACGCGGUCCAACAAAUGGUGCGAGUGGUUGCUUUGGUCAUUUUUCCCGUGAUCACAAGACUCUGCGACACAUUGCUGAUGCAGAAUAAAAC